rnacentral:rRNA from 1 species
GACGAACGCUGGCGGCGUGCUUAAUACAUGCAAGUCAACUUGACUUUAGAUAGCAAUAUCGAAAAGUAGGGUGGCGCACGGGUGCGUAACGCGUAGGUAAUCUGCCCUGAGGUCUGACAUAACCCGUCGAAAGGCGGGCUAACAUCAGAUGAUAUAUAAUCACGACAUCGUGGAAAUAUCAAAUCUUCGGAGCCUUGGGAUGAGCCUGCGUCUGAUUAGGUAGUUGGCGGAGUAAUAGCCCACCAAGCCUACGAUCAGUAGCUGGUCUGAGAGGAUGAUCAGCCACACUGGAACUGAGACACGGUCCAGACUCCUACGGGAGGCAGCAGUAAGGAAUAUUGCUCAAUGGGGGAAACCCUGAAGCAGCAACGCCGCGUGAAGGAUGAAUACUUUGUAUGUAAACUUCUGUAAGAUGGGAAAAUAUUACUCCUACGGAGAAUUGAUUGUACCAUCAG